UACGUAGGGUGCGAGCGUUGUCCGGAAUUAUUGGGCGUAAAGAGCUCGUAGGCGGUGUGUCGCGUCGGCCGUGAAAACCUGGGGGCUUAACUCUGGGCGUGCGGUCGAUACGGGCAUCACUGGAGUUCGGCAGGGGAGACUGGAAUUCCUGGUGUAGCGGUGGAAUGCGCAGAUAUCAGGAGGAACACCGGUGGCGAAGGCGGGGUCUCUGGGCAGUAACUGACGCUGAGGAGCGAAAGCGUGGGGAGCGAACAGG
rnacentral:rRNA from 1 species